GAGGGUAUAGCUCAGUGGUAAAGCACAUGCUUAGCAUGCGUGAGGUCCUGAGUUCAAUCCCCAGUACCUCCA
rfam:Camelus ferus unplaced genomic scaffold scaffold2192, whole genome shotgun sequence.